UGAAUGGUCGCCGAUGGUGUGCCAGUCUU
rnacentral:sRNA from 1 species